CGGCGGGGCUCACCCCACCCCGGCAGGCCGCCCUGUACCAGCCCGAGAACAGGGGAAACUGAGGCUCACAGCAGAUGAGAAACCUGAGGCUCCGAAGAGCUGAAGUACCACCACCUGCCCGCGGUGGACAGACGAGGCAAGAGUUGAGGCCAGGCGCGUCUGCCCGGCAGCAGAGUUCAGUCAGUGCACCGCUCCUCUGCCCCAGAAGAUGGUCCAUCCAUCGGAUGCUCCCCUGGGGCCAGCUAGGCUGGAAAGGACAAAGUUUUCCCGUCCACUGCUGGAUCUACAGAACCACAUGUGGCACACAGUUGGUACUGAAUGAAUCCUACAGAACAGCGCCUGGCACCCCGCACCUCCUGAAUAAAUGCACGUGGGGUGAAUGA
rnacentral:lncRNA from 1 species